GGCGGUGUAGCUCAGCUGGCUAGAGCGUACGGUUCAUACCCGUAAGGUCGGGGGUUCGAUCCCCUUCGCCGCUA
rfam:Paenibacillus swuensis strain DY6, complete genome.